GUGUGGUCUGAAAAGGAUGAAAUGGAGGGAUGAUCUGGAAGCAAGGGUCUCUCUCAUGCCUGUCUUUGUCACUCAGUCACUGAAUGCAGCAACAGGCUAUACGUUUGAAGAUGAUUGACUUGAAGAUGAUUGAAGAGACUGUACAGCAGUGUUACCUAAAAAUGCUCUUCUCUGUAUAAAUUGAUAUAUGUAUACAUAUAUACAGAUAUAUGUUAA